UCCUACGGGAGGCAGCAGUGGGGAAUUUUCCGCAAUGGGCGAAAGCCUGGCGGAGCAACGCCGCGUGAGGGAUGAAGGCCUCUGGGCUGUAAACCUCUUUUCUCAAGGAAGAAGAUCUGACGGUACUUGAGGAAUAAGCCACGGCUAAUUCCGUGCCAGCAGCCGCGGUAAUACGGGAGUGGCAAGCGUUAUCCGGAAUUAUUGGGCGUAAAGCGUCCGUAGGCGGCUUUUCAAGUCUGCUGUUAAAACGUGGAGCUUAACUCCAUCAAGGCAGUGGAAACUGAUUGGCUUGAGUGUGGUAGGGGCAGAGGGAAUUCCCGGUGUAGCGGUGAAAUGCGUAGAUAUCGGGAAGAACACCAGUGGCGAAGGCGCUCUGCUGGGCCAUAACUGACGCUCAUGGACGAAAGCCAGGGGAGCGAAAGGGAUUAGAUACCCCUGUAGUCCUGGCCGUAAACGAUGAACACUAGGUGUCGGGGGAAUCGACCCCCUCGGUGUCGUAGCCAACGCGUUAAGUGUUCCGCCUGGGGAGUACGCACGCAAGUGUGAAACUCAAAGGAAUUGACGG
rnacentral:rRNA from 1 species